CCCCAGCUAAUGACUUCACGGGUGAGGGCAUUGAUUGCCAUGGAGACCACAUGUGAGGCGGGGCCAGGGCUGCCCUCCAGCCCCACCUCUCCCCAGAGACACCCCAUCCGGGCACCGCCCAGGAGUCAGAGAGCAGCGACCUGGAGGGGGCUGUGCCAGGGACCACCCCCCUGCAGAAAAAGGAACUUGGCGACCAUGUCAGAGCCGAAGGUGAAGGAGACACCGCGAUCGUUCUCGCCCCAGCCCUGGACAUCCUUGUCGGGGUCGGACCAGAGGAGGUCGCACAGCAGGCCCUGAUCCGGCACGUCUGUGGGGCGCAUGAUCCGGCGGAUCUGCUCCAUCGACUGCAGUGCGGCCGAUCUCUGAACCGUUAUCUGCUAACGGCUUGAACCGGGUACGUGGCGCCAUGAGAUUCAGCCGUCCGUUCAGAUGCGCAGCACUUCAGCGCUCGUGUGCGGCCUGUUUGUUUCUUGUGUGUGUCUUCUAGACCAACACAUAUACACACAGACGAAUGUAUUAUCGUGAUACUUAGAGCUCAUGCAAUGCUUUGCAUUUUCCUGAUCAAACACGUUUUUUAUAUAUAUUUGAAUGAUAGAAAAGUAGAGUGAAAAUC